rnacentral:lncRNA from 1 species
AUCUAUUAUGGCACUGAGAUUAUAGCUUCUUCUGCAAUCUAGGUAUGUUCUAAUGCUUUUUGGUAGUCAUUAGUCUUCAAAACUGAGAUUUUAUCCCAUAUCUCCUUAUGUAGGCUUCUCUGAAACUUUUUGGCUCUUAAGUUUCCAUUUGCUACUAAGUUGGACGCGAAUUGAGCCAGCUCUAUGAGCUUUUUUGCAUAUUUUGCCACUCUCAUGUUCCCUUGCUUUAACUCUAAGAACUCCAUU